CCUACGGGAGGCAGCAGUGGGGAAUCUUGCGCAAUGGGCGAAAGCCUGACGCAGCAACGCCGCGUGCGGGAAGAAGGCCUUCGGGUUGUAAACCGCUUUCAGCAGGAACGAAAAUGACGGUACCUGCAGAAGAAGGUGCGGCCAACUAUGUGCCAGCAGCCGCGGUGAUACAUAGGCACCAAGCGUUGUCCGGAUUUAUUGGGCGUAAAGAGCUCGUAGGCGGUUCAGUCAGUCGGGUGUGAAAACUCUGGGCUUAACCCAGAGCCUGCACCCGAUACUGCUGUGACUAGAGUUCGGUAGGGGAGCGGGGAAUUCCUGGUGUAGCGGUGAAAUGCGCAGAUAUCAGGAGGAACACCGAUGGCGAAGGCACCGCUCUGGGCCGAAACUGACGCUGAGGAGCGAAAGCAUGGGUAGCAAACAGGAUUAGAUACCCUGGUAGUCCAUGCCGUAAACGUUGGGCACUAGGUGUGGGUUCCAAUCAACGGAAUCCGCGCCGUCGCUAACGCAUUAAGUGCCCCGCCUGGGGNGUACGUCGCGAGACAACUACAAGAAGUAGACGCGNGAGACGNGCGACGACGACGACGAGGGAGAGG
rnacentral:rRNA from 1 species